UACAGAGACUGCAAGCGUUAUUCGGAUUCACUGGGCGUAAAGGGUGUGCAGGCGGCCGUGUGUGUGAGGCGUGAAAGCCCGGGGCUUAACCCCGGAAUUGCACCUCAAACUACACGGCUAGAGCAUUGGAGAGGGUAGCGGAAUUCACGGUGUAGCAGUGAAAUGCGUAGAUAUCGUGAGGAACACCAGAGGCGAAGGCGGCUACCUGGACAAUUGCUGACGCUCAGGCACGAAAGCGUGGGGAGCAAAAGGG
rnacentral:rRNA from 1 species